GCCAGGUGUGGUGGCGCACACCUGUAAUCCCAGCUACUCGAGAGGCCGAGGCAGAAGAAUCGCUUGAACCUGGGAGGUGGAGGUUGCAGUGAGCCGAGAUCACGCCACUGCCCUCCAGCCCAGGCAACAGAGCAAGACUCUGUCUCAA
rfam:Gorilla gorilla gorilla genomic chromosome, chr1, whole genome shotgun sequence